CGCAAUGGGGGGAACCCUGACGCAGCGACGCCGCGUGCGGGAUGACGGUCUUCGGAUUGUAAACCGCUUUUCCCAGGGACGAUAAUGACGGUACCUGGGGAAGAAGCCCCGGCUAACUCCGUGCCAGCAGCCGCGGUAAGACGGAGGGGGCAAGCGUUGUCCGGAAUUACUGGGCGUAAAGCGCUCGUAGGCGGUCGCGUACGGCGGUGGUGAAAGCUCCCGGCUCAACUGGGAGAGGCCCGCCGCAACGGCGUGACUCGAGGGUGGUAGAGGCAGAUGGAAUUCCUGGUGUAGCGGUGAAAUGCGUAGAGAUCAGGAGGAACACCCGUGGCGAAGGCGGUCUGCUGGGCCAUGCCUGACGCUGAGGAGCGAAAGCUA
rnacentral:rRNA from 1 species